UACGUAGGGGGCAAGCGUUGUCCGGAAUCAUUGGGCGUAAAGCGCGUGUAGGCGGCUGAGUAAGUCUGCUCUGAAAGCCCGGGGCUCAACCCCGGGAGGCGGGUGGAUACUGCUCAGCUCGAGUCCGGAAGAGGAGUGUGGAAUUCCUGGUGUAGCGGUGAAAUGCGCAGAUAUCAGGAGGAACACCAAUGGCGAAGGCAGCACUCUGGGACGGUACUGACGCUGAGACGCGAAAAGCGUGGGGAGCGAACAGG
rnacentral:rRNA from 1 species